rnacentral:rRNA from 1 species
UGGGGAAUUUUGGACAAUGGGGGAAACCCUGACCCAGCAACGCCGCGUGAAGGAUGAAGUAUUUCGGUAUGUAAACUUCGAAAGAAUAGGAAGAAUAAAUGACGGUACUAUUUAUAAGGUCCGGCUAACUACGUGCCAGCAGCCGCGGUAAUACGUAGGGACCAAGCGUUAUCCGGAAUCACUGGGCGUAAAGGGUGUCGAGGCGGUUGUAUUAGUCGUUCGUAAAAUCUACGAGCUUAACUUGUAGGCGGCGAACGAAACGGUACGACUUGAGGUUUGGAGAGGUGCGUGGAACUCACGGUGUAGGGGUGAAAUCCGUUGAUAUCGUGGGGAACACCAAAGGCGAAGGCAGCGCACUGGCCAAAAUCUGACGCUCACACACGAAAGCUAGGGUAGCGAAGAGGAUUAGAUACCCCCGUAGUCCCCUGAGCGGGCUGGCAAGGCGCAU